GAUGAACGCUAGCGGCAGGCUUAACACAUGCAAGUCGAGGGGUAUAGUAGCAAUACUAGAGACCGGCGCACGGGUGCGUAACGCGUAUGCAAUCUACCUUUCACAGAGGGAUAGCCCAGAGAAAUUUGGAUUAAUACCUCAUAGUAUAGUAUCUUGGCAUCAAGGAACUAUUAAAGUCACAACGGUGAAAGAUGAGCAUGCGUCCCAUUAGUUAGUUGGUAAGGUAACGGCUUACCAAGACUACGAUGGGUAGGGGUCCUGAGAGGGAGAUCCCCCACACUGGUACUGAGACACGGACCAGACUCCUACGGGAGGCAGCAGUGAGGAAUAUUGGACAAUGGGCGCAAGCCUGAUCCAGCCAUGCCGCGUGCAGGAUGACGGUCCUAUGGAUUGUAAACUGCUUUUGUACAGGAAGAAACACCCCGACGUGUCGGGACUUGACGGUACUGUAAGAAUAAGGAUCGGCUAACUCCGUGCCAGCCGCCGCAGUAA
rnacentral:rRNA from 1 species